GUUUUUUUAAUUUCACAAUUUUAUUUUGUCUAUAUACACAACAGUUUUCAAAAAUAGUUUUAAUAAAUAGUUUGUUUAUGGAAAGAAAUGAUUGCAUGAACAAAAAAAAAAUAACACAGAAAGAUAAACAGAAUAUGUGAAAGGGGGUGAAGUCAAGCAAACUGGUACCUCAAUCUUACAUUUUUAUCGUAUGCUAAGUUUUUCUAUAUCACAUUGUAUAAACCCCAGAGAUAACUGACUACAUAAUUUCUCUGUUAAGAGUCAACCUGCUAGUCAAUGGGCAUGUUUCUUACAGUGUCAAACUGUGUAUGUUCAAGUAGUUAUGAAACAAAAACAGGCUGCUAGGAAUGUUGCUAUGGUUACUAUCUACCUAAUCCUAUCAACACUAAUAGAUGUAAAAAAAAAUAACAGAAAAAUUCUUCUGUUAUUGAAUUAUACCUUUCUACCUGUCAGAUAAAAUAAAAAUCCAUUUUUUAUUUCAAUGUGACUUGGUCACCACAGUUGACAGCUCAAAAGAUAGCUACUUUAUCAUGUUGACUCCUGCAAAAGACUUAAGAAUAUGUCUUGAGUACUAACUCAGUAUUUCAUACAGUACAACUAUAAACUGAACUUACAACAACAAUGAAACAUAGAUGCCCAUUCAAAAUGAGAUUUCAAAUUAAAAAAUCUGGGAAGCUUGAAUUUAUGUUAUGUGUGAGGUCAGGUCAUGUUGUCUUGCAACACAUGAUCCCUAGUGCACCCACCUAUAUAGAUUUAAUCUCUACAUUACAAAACAAGAAAGGCUGCCUACAGAUGAACCAAUUUCCUGUUGCCAAAACUGUUGAGUUGGUAGAACCAUUAAAUUCAACUCUUUCCAGCUGCCUUUUCCAAUCAUUGAAAGUUGAAACAUUUGACUAAGUUGACAUCAAAAUGAAGUGACAGGAAAGAGAAGGUAAUUAAGUCUACUAAUGAGUGCUUAAUUAAGAUACUAACUAAACUGAUGAAUUUGAGGUACACAUGGGGAGAGGUGGCGGGGGGGG